rnacentral:misc_RNA from 1 species
AAAAAGAGAGCUAAGAACCCUUGGUUUCUAUUUUCUUUGGUACGUUUAUACAAAUGAUUUGGAGGAGUUGAUUUUGUGAGAACGUGUGCACAUUCAUUUUCGUUCUUAUCUGAUGGUUGUAAGAACGUCCAAGCAUUCCAUUUUUCAUUUUCAUCUGAUGGUUGUGAGAAUUUUCACUGUGAUGAUGAGUGCUGACCAGUGCCCUUUGGACUAUUAAAUUUUCUUCUAGCUGGGAACCAUUAUCAUA